rnacentral:rRNA from 1 species
UACGAAGGGGGCUAGCGUUGCUCGGAAUUACUGGGCGUAAAGCGCACGUAGGCGGCUUUCUAAGUCGGGGGUGAAAUCCUGGAGCUCAACUCCAGAACUGCCUUCGAUACUGGAGAGCUCGAGUCCGGGAGAGGUGAGUGGAACUGCGAGUGUAGAGGUGAAAUUCGUAGAUAUUGGGAAGAACACCGGUGGCGAAGGCGGCUACCUGGUCCGGUUCUGACGCUGAGGUGCGAAAGCGUGGGGAGCAAACAGG